rnacentral:lncRNA from 1 species
CGGGCAACCCAUUAGUGUCUCAGGUAGUUCUGGGAGACCUGUGGGCAGCUCUGGAGGCUCUGGGCAACCUAUAAACAGUCCACAUGACCUUCAACAACCAGUGAGUGCCCCAGGACCCCCUGAGUGGCCAGUCAGUGGGCCUGGACGAUUCAUAAGUGGUUCAGUUCCAGCUAGAUGGACUAUCAGGAGUUCAAACCCUGGAAGACCAGUAAGAGGCUUACGACUUGUGUGAACAGUUAAUAGCCCAGGUCACCCUUUGAAGCCCAAGUGUACUGUUGUCACAGAAACAAUAUCUUCCAAGAAUAUUAUUAGUGGAACCAGCAAUGAACAGAUGAAUGUUUUCUAGCUACAGAUCUGCCCAAGGUCCUCAAAGACUUCCCUUCCCUACUGGAUAUAGAAGGCAGUGAGGAAAUGAGGAAGAAGAGAAUGAUGAUGAAUGUGACUCUGAAAUGAAUGAUUUCAUUGAAGAUGAAGGAGAACCUCAGGAAGAAAUAUCCAAGCACAUUCGAGAAAUCUUUGGCUCUGACCAAAGAAAAAAAUACAAAGUUGAAAGUGAUUAUGCCUUUUGUUACAUGGAGAGUAGUUGGAAAGAGCAGAAGGAAGAAGUAAAGAGUUUAAGACU